UACAGAGGUCCCAAGCGUUUGUUCGGAUUCAUUGGGCGUAAAGGGUGUGUAGGUGGCGCCGUAAGUCGGGUGUGAAAUCUCGGGGCUUAACUCCGAAACUGCAUUCGAUACUGCCGUGCUUGAGGACUGGAGAGGAGACUGGAAUUUACGGUGUAGCGGUGAAAUGCGUAGAUAUCGUAAGGAAGACCAGUGGCGAAGGCGGGUCUCUGGACAGUUCCUGACGCUGAGGCACGAAGGCCAGGGGAGCAAACGGG
rnacentral:rRNA from 1 species